GAUGAACGCUAGCGGCAGGCUUAACACAUGCAAGUCGAGGGGUAGAGGAAGCUUGCUUCCUUGAGACCGGCGCACGGGUGCGUAACGCGUAUGCAACCUACCUUUUACAGAGGGAUAGCCCAGAGAAAUUUGGAUUAAUACCUCAUGGUAUAUAUCAUUCGCAUGUUUGAUAUAUUAAAGUUCCAACGGUAAAAGAUGGGCAUGCGUCCUAUUAGCUAGAUGGUAAGGUAACGGCUUACCAUGGCGACGAUGGGUAGGGGUCCUGAGAGGGAGAUCCCCCACACUGGUACUGAGACACGGACCAGACUCCUACGGGAGGCAGCAGUGAGGAAUAUUGGACAAAUGGGGCUCAAGGCCUGGAUCCAGCCAUGCCGCGUGCAGGAUGACGGUCCUAUGGAUUGUAAACUGCUUUUUGACAGGAAGAAACNCUCCCUCGUGAGGGAGCUUGACGGUAC
rnacentral:rRNA from 1 species